UGGGGAAUCUUGGACAAUGGGCGAAAGCCUGAUCCAGCCAUGCCGCGUGGAUGAUGAAGGCCCUAGGGUUGUAAAGUCCUUUCGACGGGGAAGAUAAUGACGGUACCCGUAGAAGAAGCCCCGGCCAACUUCGUGCCAGCAGCCGCGGUAAUACGAAGGGGGCUAGCGUUGCUCGGAAUCACUGGGCGUAAAGCGCACGUAGGCGGAUUCAUAAGUCGGUGGUGAAAUCCUGGAGCUCAACUCCAGAACUGCCUCCGAUACUGCGAGUCUCCGAGUCCGGGAGAGGUGAGUGGAACUGCGAGUGUAGAGGUGAAAUUCGUAGAUAUUCGCAAGAACACCAGUGGCGAAGGCGGCUCACUGGCCCGGUACUGACGCUGAGGUGCGAAAGCGUGGGGAGCAAACAGGAUUAGAUACCCGUGUAGUCCCUGAGCGGGCUGGCAAGGCGCAU
rnacentral:rRNA from 1 species